GCACAAGCGGUGGAUGAUGUGUUUAAUCGAUGCAACGCGAAAACCUUACCCACCUUUGACAUGGCAGGAAUCCCGAAGAGAUUUGGGAGUGCUCGAAAGAGAACCUGCACACAGGUGCUGCAUGGCUGUCGUCAGCUCGUGUCGUGAGAUGUUGGGUUAAGUCCCGCAACGAGCGCAACCCUUGCCAUUAGUUGCUACGAAAGGGCACUCUAAUGGGACUGCCGGUGACAAACCGGAGGAAGGUGGGAUGACGUCAAAUCAUCAUGCCCCUUAUGUCUUGGGCUUCACGCAUGCUACAAUGGCCGGUACAAAGGGCUGCGAUACCGCGAGGUGGAGCGAAUCCCAGAAAGCCGGUCUCAGUUCGGAUUGGGGUCUGCAACUCGACCCCAUGAAGUCGGAGUCGCUAGUAAUCGCAGAUCAGCAACGCUGCGGUGAAUACGUUCCCGGGCCUU
rnacentral:rRNA from 1 species